rnacentral:ncRNA from 1 species
UUUACGUCAAUGACAAAGAGAGUAAUUAUUUGUUAGAUUAAAGCGAUCUAGGGAUGGUGAGAGCCUAGAAUUGAGCAAAUAAUGAAGCGCACUUUGGAGAUACAUUCCUGAAUUUAGUAGGGAGUGUCGGGGGUAGCCUCGUUAUCAAUUAAAGUGGUUUUACCAAUGGUAGAACAAUUAGAGUGGUACCACGGGAUAUUCAGCUCUCGUCUCUUCU